rnacentral:lncRNA from 1 species
CCCGUCUGUGCCCGGAGCUGGAGUCUGAGCCCCAGCCUAUGCUAAAGUCUUAAACAGUUUUCCUUCUAGUUCAGUAGAGUAUGGGUUUCCUUGAAGGCAAGGACAGUAUGCUGUGGUCCUUCAUAUCCGCCAGAGGUGCAGAGGUCUAACAAAGUGUGGGACAUACACAUAUGCCCAGUGAAAACAUGGUGAACUGAAUGUAUCUGAACUUAAGAGAGAAAUCAGAGGUAACCCCCCUUGGCUGUAAGGCUGCAGAAAACAUGGAGAAGAUGAAAAGGAAAGUUGGUUUGGGCAGGGGCAUUGUACAAAGGAUGAAGUUGGACAGAAAUAACGACAUAUUUCUUAAACUUCAUUAAGCCCUUAUAUAAGUUACUUACAAAUUUUUUAAACAGUAAAAUUAAUGCAUUUUAUGGAAGGCGAGCCUGCAGUCCUUUUUACAAUACAUGGCAGCCUCGAAGGAGUUUUAUUCAAAAGAAUGACACACCAUGAAUGCGGUAGUUAAAACAUGUGGGCAGCUGGGAAAGAAUUAAAAUGUGGAGAAAAUC